AGUGAACGCUGGCGGUAGGCCUAACACAUGCAAGUCGAACGGCAGCACAGUAAGCGCUUGCUCUUACGGGUGGCGAGUGGCGGACGGGUGAGGAAUACAUCGGAAUCUACUUUUUCGUGGGUGAUAACGUAGGGCAACUUACGCUACUACCUCAUACGAUCUACGGGUGAAAGCAGGGGAUCUUCGGACCUUUCGCGAUUGAAUGAGCCGAUGUCGGAUUAGCUUGUUGGCGGGGUAAAGGCCCACCAAGGCGACGAUCCGUAGCUGGUCUGAGAGGAUGAUCAGCCACACUGGAACUGAGACACGGUCCAGACUCCUACGGGAGGCAGCAGUGGGGAAUAUUGGACAAUGGGCGCAAGCCUGAUCCAGCCAUACCGCGUGGGUGAAGAAGGCCUUCGGAUUGUAAAGCCCUUUUGUUGGGAAAGAAAAGCAGCAGGUUAAUACCCCGCUGUUCUGACGGUACCCAAAGAAUAAGCACCGGCUAACUUCGUG
rnacentral:rRNA from 1 species